rnacentral:lncRNA from 1 species
AGAUUAGGUUUAAACUAAUCUAUAGCCAUAUUUGAUUUAGAUAAGGUUUUAGUCAAAUUUAAAUCAGAUUUAAUUUUGAUUAGAUCAAAUUUUAAUUUGACCUAGAUUGGGUUUCAUUAGUCUAAUGGGAUUGGACUUUCACCUAAUCUAAAUUCGAAUCCAAUCUCAACUUGGAUUUUGAACUAGACCUUGACCAAAUCAAACAAGGAGUUGAACCACCCUUUAUCCAAGUCCAAUGAGGAGUCCCACACCCUUAUGGUACCAAGCCUCAUGUGUUUCCAUGGUGAAAAGCUUUUUGUGCUGUGGAGAAAAUAAAGGGAGAGAAUAGGUGGGUGGCAC